AUACGUAGGUGGCAAGCGUUGUCCGGAAUUAUUGGGCGUAAAGCGCGCGCAGGUGGUCCUUUAAGUCUGAUGUGAAAGCCCACGGCUCAACCGUGGAGGGUCAUUGGAAACUGGGGAACUUGAGUGCAGAAGAGGAUAGUGGAAUUCCAAGUGUAGCGGUGAAAUGCGUAGAGAUUUGGAGGAACACCAGUGGCGAAGGCGACUGUCUGGUCUGUAACUGACACUGAGGCGCGAAAGCGUGGGGAGCAAACAGGAUUAGAUACCCUGGUAGUCCACGCCGUAAACGAUGAGUGCUAAGUGUUGGGGGGUUUCCGCCCCUCAGUGCUGCAGCUAACGCAUUAAGCACUCCGCCUGGGGAGUACGGUCGCAAGACUGAAACUCAAAUGAAUUGACGGGG
rnacentral:rRNA from 1 species